CCUACGGGAGGCAGCAGUGAGGAAUAUUGGUCAAUGGGCGCGAGCCUGAACCAGCCAAGUAGCGUGAAGGAUGACUGCCCUACGGGUUGUAAACUUCUUUUAUAAAGGAAUAAGGUGAGGCACGUGUGCCUUUUUGUAUGUACUUUAUGAAUAAGGAUCGGCUAACUCCGUGCCAGCAGCCGCGGUAAUACGGAGGAUCCGAGCGUUAUCCGGAUUUAUUGGGUGUAAAGGGAGCGUAGAUGGGUUGUUAAGUCAGUGGUGAAAGUUUGCGGCUCAACCGUAAAAUUGCAAUUGAUACUGGCAGACUUGAGUACAGUUGAGGUAGGCGGAAUUCGUGGUGUAGCGGUGAAAUGCUUAGAUAUCACGAAGAACACCGAUUGCGAAGGCAGCCAACUAAAAUGCCACUGACAUUGAUGCUCGAAAGUGUGGGUAUCAAACAGGAUUAGAUACCCGAGUAGUC
rnacentral:rRNA from 1 species